UCCCUGGUUGUCCAGCGGCUAAGGAUCUUACGCUCUCACUGCCAUGGCCCAAGUUUGAUUCCUGGGCAGGGAA